CCUACGGGAGGCAGCAGUGGGGAAUAUUGGACAAUGUGGGGAACCCUGAUCCAGCGACGCCGCGUGAGUGAAGAAGUAUUUCGGUAUGUAAAGCUCUAUCAGCAGGGAAGAAAGAAAUGACGGUACCUGACUAAGAAGCAGCGGCUAACUACGUGCAAGCAGCCGCGGUAAUACGUAGGGGGCAAGCGUUAUCCGGAUUUACUGGGUGUAAAGGGAGCGUAGACGGCGAUGCAAGUCUGAAGUGAAAGGCGGGGGCUCAACCCCCGGACUGCUUUUGAAACUGUAUGGCUGGAGUGCAGGAGAGGUAAGUGGAAUUCCUAGUGUAGCGGUGAAAUGCGUAGAUAUUAGGAGGAACACCAGUGGCGAAGGCGGCUUACUGGACUGUAACUGACGUUGAGGCUCGAAAGCGUGGGGAGCAAACAGGAUUAGAUACCCCAGUAGUC
rnacentral:rRNA from 1 species